UACGUAGGGGGCAAGCGUUGUCCGGAUUUAUUGGGCGUAAAGAGCGUGUAGGCGGCCAGACAGGUCCGUUGUGAAAACUCGAGGCUCAACCUCGAGAUGUCGAUGGAAACCGUCUGGCUAGAGUCCGGAAGAGGAGUGUGGAAUUCCUGGUGUAGCGGUGAAAUGCGCAGAUAUCAGGAAGAACACCUAUGGCGAAGGCGGGUCUCUGGGCCGAUAUCGACGCUGAGGAGCGAAAGCGUGGGGAGCGAACAGG
rnacentral:rRNA from 1 species